GACGAACGCUGGCGGCGUGCUUAACACAUGCAAGUCGAACGAAGAGCGAUGGAAGCUUGCUUCUAUCAAUCUUAGUGGCGAACGGGUGAGUAACGCGUAAUCAACCUGCCCUUCAGAGGGGGACAACAGUUGGAAACGACUGCUAAUACCGCAUACGAUCUGACCUCGGCAUCGAGGAUGGAUGAAAGGUGGCCUCUAUUUAUAAGCUAUCACUGAAGGAGGGGAUUGCGUCUGAUUAGCUAGUUGGAGGGGUAACGGCCCACCAAGGCGAUGAUCAGUAGCCGGUCUGAGAGGAUGAACGGCCACAUUGGGACUGAGACACGGCCCAGACUCCUACGGGAGGCAGCAGUGGGGAAUCUUCCGCAAUGGACGAAAGUCUGACGGAGCAACGCCGCGUGAGUGAUGACGGCCUUCGGGUUGUAAAGCUCUGUUAAUCGGGACGAAAGGCCUUCUUGCGAAUAGUUAGAAG
rnacentral:rRNA from 1 species